UCCGGUUGAUCCUGCCAGAGGUUACUGCUAUCGAGGUUCGACUAAGCCAUGCGAGUCGAAUGUAGCAAUACAUGGCGUACUGCUCAGUAACACGUGGACAACCUGCCCUUAGGUUGGGUAUAAACCCGGGAAACUGGGUAUAAUCCCCUAUAAGUCUCGGCUGCUGGAAUGCACCGAGAUUAAAAGCUCCGGCGCCUAAGGAUGGGUCUGCGGCCUAUCAGGUAGUAGUGGGUGUAGCGUACCUACUAGCCUACGACGGGUACGGGUUGUGAGAGCAAGAGCCCGGAGAUGGAUUCUGAGACACGAAUCCAGGCCCUACGGGGUGCAGCAGGCGCGAAAACUUUACAAUGCUGGCAACAGCGAUAAGGGAACCUCGAGUGCCAGGUUACAAAUCUGGCUGUCGAGAUGCCUAAAAAGCAUUUCAUAGCAAGGGCCGGGCAAGACCGGUGCCAGCCGCCGCGGUAACACCGGCGACUCGAGUGGUAACCGUUAUUAUUGGGUCUAAAGGGUCUGUAGCCGGCCGGAUAAGUCUCUUGAGAAAUCUGGCAGCUUAACUGUCAGGCUUUCAGGAGAUACUGUCUGGCUCGAGGCCGGGAGAGGUGAGAGGUACUUCAGGGGUAGGGGUGAAAUCUUGUAAUCCUUGAAGGACCACCAGUGGCGAAGGCGUCUCAC
rnacentral:rRNA from 1 species